CGGAUUGCAGGCUGCAACUCGCCUGCAUGAAGCUGGGAUUGCUAGUAAUCGCGGAUCAGCAUGCCGCGGUGAAUACGUUCCCGGGCCUUGUACACACCGCCCGUCACACCAUGAGAGUCGGGAACACCCGAAGUCCGUAGUCUAACCGCAAGGGGGGCGCGGCCGAAGGUGGGUCCGGUAAUUGGGGUGAAGUCGUAACAAGGUACC
rnacentral:rRNA from 1 species